rnacentral:lncRNA from 1 species
GUUUUUCUGUGCUGCUUACGCAGAUGGAACCAGUCCCGCAGGCACUCAAGAGGAUAUUUGCUGUAUUUGGUGUGGGAUCCUUUGGUGAAGGAGUCUGUACCACGGUGUUAACAGUUUUGGCAACUGACUGUGAAAAAACAACCCCUGAACUUUACUACUUGUCUGUGCUGCUGUCGGUGAGCAGCUUGGUUUCUACAGACAAGAAUCCAGGGAACACUCUAAGCAGAGAAGUGCCGAAUCAGACUAAGUCACGUAGAAAGAAGAGCAGGCAAACAGAACGCCUGGGUCAGCACAGCUCUGAUGAUCGCACACAAAUGCCUGAAGAGAACACAUACUGUCAUAACCAAAAUUAGGGGAAGUACACAAUGAGAAAACGUUUGUUUAGCAAGUUCUUCAAAUGCUAAAGCAAAGAAGCAUAUUUUUUUUCAGUGUGCUUUGCUUUGGCACUGACCCCUGUCUGUCCCUGAGAGAUCUGCGUUACUGAAAGCCUGGAUGUGUCCACACGAUUACCGUUAAUCAAAAAACGAGACCUGAUGACAGUAGCACAGCAGUCACUUACUUUCACAAGGAAAUUCUGUGGACCUGAAGUGUCGUGCAAGGUGGGUCACUGGACAUUCCCACCACAGCAAAGGCUUCUCGGUGCUGGGCCAGAACCAGGGUUUCACAGCACAACUCUAACUCUGAAAAACAACACAGGGGGUGCCUGAAUGGGUUUGGUGGGUGAAGCCUCUGCCUUUGGCUGAGGUCAUGAUCCCCAAGUCCCAGGAUCGAGCCCCACAUGGGGUUCCCUGCUCAGUAGGGAGUCUGCUUCGUUCUCUUCCUCUGCCCGUCCCCCAGCUUGUGCUAACGAAUAUAAUAAUAAUAAUAAUUUUAAAAUCUUUAAAAAAAUAGAGAAAAACGAGAAACCCAAGGAUCAGAACUGGGGAAGUAAUUCAUUGUGGUUCGACUUCCCUGGGAACUUAGUUGGAGGAAGUCUGGAGGAGUCGGGGGCUGAAAGAGAACGAGCCCAACUAGCCAGCCCCACGACGUCUGGGGACCUGGGACUCGGGGGACCUCGGACUCGGGGAACUUCGACCUCGGGGACCUGGGACUCGGGGGCCGCGGGCGAGGGGAGCGUUUCCGCCCAGUUUCCCGGUAACUUCCAAGCUGCCCAACGGCCCGGCGGUGCCCUCAGGGGCGUGAGCGCCAAACCCCGUCUCUAACGGAUUUGCAAAGACGGAUUUCCGAGGAAAGAGGAGGGAAAGAGAAGUCCUUCGGGACGGAACACUUCCUCCUCCGUCCCCGCCCACCUCCGCCACGCUCCAGGGGCCUCGGGAAAGGGAUCUUUCCCAC